ensembl:miRNA
UCUUAGGUCAUUUCAAAGAGGGCUUUUUGGGCUAUAAAACCCACAGCUCUUAACGCUGUGACCAAAGAUUG